GGGGAAUGGAGAACAAUCAAUCACAAGGUUAACGUUUCACUGGGAAGACAGCCUCAGCCCCAAGAGUCCACACAGCACCAGACGCCCUCGGUUAACGGAACCGCUCUGCUCAGAGACGGGCAAGCACCGAACCCUAGUUGGAACCUACCACAUCAACCCGGUACCUGGCGACGCUUAGGUCAAAUCCACCCAGGGCGCAGGCGUCCCCCAACCCCCGCGGCGCUUCUCUACGAGCUCGCCGGGGACAGAACCCACCCACGGCGGACUCCGAAGCCAGUCCCGGGCUCCGCAGGCGACUGGAGAUCCGGCGCGGCGACCUCUGCCCGGACUGGAGCGGGACAGCCCCAGGGUCGCCUCCCGCAAGCUGCAAGCCCCCACGGCCCCCGAAGCCGCAGGUUGCCUCGAGUGCAGGAUGGGGCGCAGGCAGACUGGCCCCCACGCCCGCGGCGCUCACUGACCUGGAGAGGUGCUUCAAGAUCUGUUUCUUGAUGAUCCCAGCCAUGGUGCCCAGGCAGGAGGCGCCGCGCUCUUGCUGAACCUCACAGCCCCCUCACGCCGUGGCCGUCUCCUCUCUGCCCGGGCUAACCCGGCCGGAGGAGAGGCGCUUGAGCGCUCACCCCAGGAGAGACUCGAGGCCCCGGCUGACGCCAACAGCCGCCGCCGCUGCCGCCGCCGAGAACCCCGAGCAUGACGCUCAGGCCGCCGCGGCCGCCGCCGGCGCCAUCUUGGCUGCAGCAUCACCUAAGAGACCGGGGGAGGGUGAGGGUGGCGCGGCAGGCGCGGGCUAGGCGGGCGCGGGGCGGGGCCAACGCGACGUGUGGUGGGGCCAACGCGACGUGUGGUGGGAGGGGAAAGCCUCAGGCCACGCCCCACCGCCUGGACCUGCCGGCGGACUCUGGGCUGCCCUUAUCUUACAGGGUCUUCAGACUCCAACCCCAUUACCUACUUAGACUUUACUCCUUCCUCUGCUCUCUCUGGUCUCUGUGCCUGCCUCCAUCAAUGAGUUGCCCUUCCACAUACUACUUCUGUCUUCAUUUCCUCAGAAAUUGACCCACAAAUUGCUCUACUUGCUUUUUUCUUUUGAGCUACUCGGCUUUGUUCAUAUGCCUCCUCGGGUUUUUGUUUUGUUUUGUUUUUUCUCUUUUGCUAAGAUCUUUCCUUAGCUAAAUACUGCAAUUUAUUAUUUGCCCUGAAUAUGCCAGUCCUAAGAGAAGUAAAAGUUUUCAACGUAGACUCAGGUGAGAAGCCCCAAAUUCAAGUCCCGACUUUGGAAUUUUCUAGUAGUGUUAACCUGGAGAAAAUUAGUUUUGUCCUCACUUUAAUCAUGUCAGAGAUAUGAUAAAUUGUGGUAUAAAGAUGCAUUAAGAAUUGUAAUACAAUAAUAAUAAUAAUAAUUGUAAUAGAGCUCAAAAAAUAAAUAAAGAGAUUAAAAA
rnacentral:lncRNA from 1 species